rnacentral:rRNA from 1 species
AACGAACGCUGGCGGCAUGCCUAACACAUGCAAGUCGAACGAGACCUUCGGGUCUAGUGGCGCACGGGUGCGUAACGCGUGGGAACCUGCCCUUAGGUUCGGAAUAACUCCCCGAAAGGGGUGCUAAUACCGGAUAAUUUCUUCGGACCAAAGAUUUAUCGCCUUUGGAUGGGCCCGCGUUGGAUUAGCUAGUUGGUAGGGUAAAAGCCUACCAAGGCGACGAUCCAUAGCUGGUCUGAGAGGAUGAUCAGCCACACUGGGACUGAGACACGGCCCAGACUCCUACGGGAGGCAGCAGUGGGGAAUAUUGGACAAUGGGCGAAAGCCUGAUCCAGCAAUGCCGCGUGAGUGAUGAAGGCCUUAGGGAUGUAAAGCUCUUUUACCCGGGAUGAUAAUGACAGUACCGGGAGAAUAAGCUCCGGCUACCUCCGU